UGGGGUGCUUUUGGGAAAAUGGAACAAGGCAAUGUAGCCCACAAAUCGGCUAGAAAUUCAGCAAUUCUAAAAUACAGCAUGUCCCAAAAGUCUCCAUACAUAGGGGAAAUUAACACUUUUUAGCAAAAUGUCUUCCAAAAUCUAAAAUCUCAUUUAUAUUAUAUAUUUUUUUUUUCAGAUAGCCUUUAAGAAUGCCUUUGACAAAAUAGGAACGUAUUGAAAUCAUUCUCAUGGCUGGAUCGGGAAGCUGUCGCAAGGUUGCGAUGGACUUUAACAGGAAACAUGGCAAGCACAUCCCACACGACACUGCUGCCAAACUUCAAAAAGACUGGAAGUGUUGAGGACCAACUGAGAAGUGGACGUCCACGACCAUCCGCUUACAAAGGCACAGCCAACAUGGUGCUGGCCUACAUGAAUGGAGACUUUUGGUAUACCCUGUAGUAAUUUUUUUUAAUGACAGUUUAGGAAUACCACCAAAUUAAUUAUGGUGAUAUACUAUUUGACAUAAAGGUCAAAUAAUCCUAAUAACAAAAAGAGCAGGAGCUUCAUUUCUCACGCGCCAUCUGUCAGCAACAAUGUCAUAUUAAUGAGAAAUCCAGUUAAAAUGUAGAAACAUUGGACUCAAAGUUCCACAAUGCAAUGCAAGUUACGGCAGAGACUCGGCUUGGCUAGUCAGUGAUCUAUGAGAUGACGAACACAACGGUAUUGACGGCGGUAUUAACGUGAAAGUUGAAGCUUUGGAACCUUGUCUGUUGGAGCAGAGUGUAGAGAUGAUGAGGUGAGAGAGACGGACAGAAUAGAGGACUAAAGCGCUGCUGCAUCGCUCUCUUUAGGUGAAGAUGAAUUCUCACUGGUGCCACUGUCAGCAGGUAGCCGAAUGAAACCGACUUGUUAUUGAUGUUUAAAAAAAAAAAACUCUGAAUUUAAUCAGAAAAUAAACCUUUCGGACAACUGAUGAUAAAUAUCGAUUUGCAAGUGGCUCCUGGUGGAUAGCUUGGAAUACGACGGCUCUACUUAUUCUACCUUCUGAAGGGGACAGUCUUUAUUUAAGCAGAUUCUAAAAUAGUCUGCCUAAGCGGAUUCUUACUUAAUGGUACGCAGGGUAAGUAAUAGUUAUUUUAAAGUGUCCAUGAGAGCAAUAUUGAUUGCAGACACAUGCCUAGUCUGCAGUACUCAGAGGCAAACGUCAACUCACAGCAGUUACAGUUUUAUUUAUACACACUGUCACUUAUAAAGGAAGCAGUAGCCAUAGAAUGGCCUGUGAGUUACUCCACUCGAAACUCCUUCAAUAAUCAGGAAAACUUGUUUACGUCUAUAUAUUAAAAUACAAUCUACGUGAAAGUGGGACUUGUGGGUAGAAAUCCAGCAAUGACAUAACAGCAUCACAACAAGACCACCUCUACACACUGUGCAUUCAUAUAAGAGUUCAAACUUCUCACAGAGGCAUAGUAGAAACUUCAUAAUUCUACAGGCAGCGAGAUUUGUCUUCACCUGCUUUGACCACUGAGCUUAAAAUAUUUAAGUUCCUCUGUCUCCAAAGCUACUUGAUGGCUGUUGAGGUAGAUGCUGCUGCGAGACACAAUGAGGCUGCUGGACCGUGAAGGCAGGGCGACGUCACAGUCUGCUCCCAUCUCCAUGCGCCUCAUCUGCGCCCCAGG